rnacentral:rRNA from 1 species
ACGCUGGCGGCAUGCCUUACACAUGCAAGUCGAACGGCAGCACGGAGCUUGCUCUGGUGGCGAGUGGCGAACGGGUGAGUAAUAUAUCGGAACGUACCCUAGAGUGGGGGAUAACGUAGCGAAAGUUACGCUAAUACCGCAUACGAUCUAAGGAUGAAAGUGGGGGAUCGCAAGACCUCAUGCUCGUGGAGCGGCCGAUAUCUGAUUAGCUAGUUGGUAGGGUAAAAGCCUACCAAGGCAUCGAUCAGUAGCUGGUCUGAGAGGACGACCAGCCACACUGGAACUGAGACACGGUCCAGACUCCUACGGGAGGCAGCAGUGGGGAAUUUUGGACAAUGGGCGAAAGCCUGAUCCAGCAAUGCCGCGUGAGUGAAGAAGGCCUUCGGGUUGUAAAGCUCUUUUGUCAGGGAAGAAACGGUGAGAGCUAAUAUCUCUUGCUAAUGACGGUACCUGAAGAAUAAGCACCGGCUAACUACGUGCCAGCAGCCGCGGUAAUACGUAGGGUGCAAGCGUUAAUCGGAAUUACUGGGCGUAAAGCGUGCGCAGGCGGUUUUGUAAGUCUGAUGUGAAAUCCCCGGGCUCAACCUGGGAACUGCAUUGGAGACUGCAAGGCUAGAAUCUGGCAGAGGGGGGUAGAAUUCCACGUGUAGCAGUGAAAUGCGUAGAUAUGUGGAGGAACACCGAUGGCGAAGGCAGCCCCCUGGGUCAAGAUUGACGCUCAUGCACGAAAGCGUGGGGAGCAAAC